UACGAAGGGGACUAGCGUUGUUCGGAAUUACUGGGCGUAAAGCGCACGUAGGCGGAUUCGUAAGUCAGGGGUGAAAUCCCGGGGCUCAACCUCGGAACUGCCUUUGAUACUGCGGAUCUCGAGUCCGAUAGAGGUGGGUGGAAUUCCUAGUGUAGAGGUGAAAUUCGUAGAUAUUAGGAAGAACACCGGUGGCGAAGGCGGCCCACUGGAUCGGUACUGACGCUGAGGUGCGAAAGCUAGGGGAGCAAACAGG
rnacentral:rRNA from 1 species